rnacentral:rRNA from 1 species
CCACUGCUAUCGAGAUGGGACUAAGGUAUGCUAGUCGAACGACCAGAACUAUGUCUGGGAGUGGCACACUGCUCAGUAACACGUAGCUAACCUACCCUUAGGACGUGGAUACCCCCGAGAAAUUGGGGUUAAUCCGCGAUAGAUGUAAUGUCCUGGAAUGGUAUUACGUCUAAAGGUAUUUCAUACAUGUUUGAAAUAUGCCUAAGGAUGGGGCUGCGGCCGAUCAGGCUGUUGGUGAGGUAAUGGCUCACCAAACCUUUGACCGGUACGGGCCAUGAGAGUGGUAGCCCGGAGAUGGACACUGAGACAAGGGUCCAGGCCCUAAGGGGCGCAGCAACCGCGAAACCUCCACAAUGCACUCACGUGCGAUGGGGCUAUCUCGAGUGCCACCUGAUGAAGGUGGCUUUUCCUUGGUCUAAAAAGCCUCGGGAAUAAGAGGGGGGCAAGACUGGUGUCAGCCGCCGCGGUAACACCAGCCCCUCGAGUGGUGGGGAUGAUUAUUUGGCCUAAAGCGUCCGUAGCCGGCCGGGUAAGUCUCCCGUUAAAUCCAACGUCUCAAGCGUUGGACUGCGGGAGAUACUGCCUGGCUAGAGAGUGGGAGAGGUCAGCGGUAUUCUGGGGGUAGGGGCGAAAUCCUUUGAUCCCCGGAGGACCACCAGUGGCGAAGGCUGCUGACUAGAACACGUCUGACGGUCAGGGACGAAAGCUGGGGUAGCGAACCGGAUUAGAUACCCGGGUAGUCCCAGCCGUAAACGAUGCAUGCUAGGUGUUGGGUUGGCCACGAGCCACCCCAGUGCCGCAGGGAAGCCGUUAAGCAUGCCGCCUGGGAAGUACGAUCGCAAGAUUGAAACUUAAAGGAAUUGGCGGGGGAGCAC